UACGUAGGGGGCAAGCGUUGUCCGGAAUCAUUGGGCGUAAAGCGCGUGUAGGCGGUUCGGUAAGUCGGCUGUGAAAGUCCAGGGCCCAACCCUGGGAUGCCGGUCGAUACUGCCGGACUAGAGUUCGGAAGAGGCGAGUGGAAUUCCCGGUGUAGCGGUGAAAUGCGCAGAUAUCGGGAGGAACACCAAUGGCGAAGGCAGCUCGCUGGGACGUUACUGACGCUGAGACGCGAAAGCGUGGGGAGCAAACAGG
rnacentral:rRNA from 1 species